CAUAAGGAGAUUGUUGGGAAGAUAUUUCGAAAGGGGAAGAGAAUAUAUUACUACUACGACGUCGUUGAUAGUAGCUGUUAGGCUGUUAAUCGUCUCUUUCAAGUAGCCAAGAGACUCCACACUUGAAAUUCUUCCAUUUUAUGAACAAGGCAAUUUCUUUUGCGAGGUUAAAAGGUGCAGGUACUUUGAUUGCUCUCUUCAAUUUGCAACCUAGGAUCUCUCUGCAGAAUUAAAGGUUCCAUUAAAAUUGUAUAGGUAACUGAUACUAUCAGCCUUAAAAGGAAAAGUUACCUACAUUAACAAGUCUUAUCGGAAUACACACAGAGAGUACCAGGGUGUGCUUAGUGGUCAAUGCUGUGGGUUGAGCACCGUGAGGUCUGUUCAAUUUCGCAACAUAGACAUAAAAUACUAAGUGAUUUCUUCUCAUUUGUUAUUGUUUUAGUGGAUAGAGUUAUCUGAUAGUUGUUCCAUGGAAUUACGAAAGCUGGUCUGGGUACCACGGUUAUCAAAAAAGUUUUCCUUUGCUUCUAUUAAUAUUACUUGGAAGAAAUUCCUUAGUGGCUGAAUAUUUUAUGUAUCGUGAACGACACACUUUAAUCAUUUAGGAUGAUCUCUCUAAACAAGCGCAAGCUUAUUGCCAAAUGUCAACUGGCUCCUUAGGGGGUUAUAAAACAUUGACAUUGAUUCGUAAAACUGUAGGCAAUAGUUUGAAGUUGUGUAUCCAGCAAUAUUUGAAGGCACUUAAUUUCUAUAUCGACCUGUCUGAAGUCUUCCUUAUAACUAUGUGCUUAUUGUUGAUGAUGAAGCAGGUGCUUGAUCAGAUGCCUUUUGUGUUCUCCUAGUUACAUUUUGAUUGCUCUUGGGAUCUCGGACAUAUUACAGUCUUGAAAGAGUUCCCAACCAAAGCUUUGGCCGUGGCUGAAAUCAUGGCUGGAACUUCCUUUUUCUCCAGUCCACCACUAUACACUACUAGUACUAACACCAAGUACAGCCAUAGCCCGUCACCAGACAGACUUAAAUUCUUGAUAGACAAGUCAAAAAACAUCAGACAGCUUCUACAGAUUCAUGCAUUUCUUAUUCGCAAUGGUUUGGAGAGUGACCCAGUCUUGAAUUUUAGGCUCCAACAAUCAUACUCUUCCCUUGGACACCUCCAACAUUCUGUUACUGUUUUUAAGCGCACUCAUAGUCCAACUGUGUUCUCUUACACAGCCAUUAUCCAUAAUCAUGUGAUCAAUGAUCUCUAUGAACAAGCCUAUGUCUUAUAUAUCCAAAUGCUAACACAAAAUAUUGAGCCUAAUGCAUUUACAUUUUCUACGCUGCUUAAAACUUGCCCACUUGAAUCAGGAAAAGCCCUUCAUUGUCAAGCCCUGAAACUCGGAUAUGAAUCUGACACAUACGUUCGAACUGCUCUUGUAGAUGUCUAUGCAAGAGGCAGUGACAUUGUGUCAGCUCGCAAACUCUUUGACACUAUGCCUGAAAGGUCCUUGGUGUCUUUAACAACAAUGAUUACUGGAUAUGCAAAGAAUGGGCAUGUCCAAGAAGCAAGAGAGUUGUUUGAUGGGAUGGAAGACAGGGAUGUUGUUUGUUGGAAUGCCAUGAUUGAUGGGUAUGGCCAACAUGGUAGACCUAGUGAAACUUUGGUUCUUUUUAGGCAGAUGUUACUGUCAAAAGUGAAACCUAAUGAAGUAACCGUGGUGGCUGCUCUUUCUGCUUGUGCGCAAAUGGGAGUACUGGAAUCAGGUCGUUGGAUUCAUGCUUAUGUGAAAAGUAACAGAAUCCAAGUAAAUAAACAUGUAGGUACUGCUUUUAUUGACAUGUAUAGCAAGUCUGGGAGUUUAGAGGAUGCAAGAAUGGUGUUUGAUCAGAUGAGAGAUAAGGAUGUCAUAACAUGGAAUUCGAUGAUUGUAGGAUAUGCGAUGCAUGGAUUUAGCCUUGAAGCUUUGCAGGUGUUCUAUGAGAUGUGUAAGUUGGGUCUCCAACCUACUGAUAUAACGUUUAUUGGCAUUUUAAGUGCUUGUGCUAAUGCCGGAUUGGUGUCUGAAGGGUGGACUUAUUUUCAGUUAAUGGAGAAGUAUUUAAUUGAGCCAAAGAUUGAGCACUAUGGUUGCAUGGUGAAUCUUCUUGGACGAGCUGGACAGCUAGAAAAAGCUUAUGAAUUUGUCAAAAGUAUGAAGAUUGAUUCUGAUCCUAUUUUAUGGGGAACUCUACUGACUGCUUGUAGGAUUCAUGGGGACGUAAGGCUUGCAGAGAAAAUUAUGGAGUUCCUAGUCGAACAGGAUCUUGCUACUUCAGGUACUUAUGUUCUGCUAUCCAACAUAUAUGCUGCUGCUGGUGAUUGGGAUGGGGUGGCAAAGGUGAGGGCAUUGAUGAAAAGAAGCGGGGUUGACAAGGAACCUGGCUGUAGCUCCAUUGAGGUAAACAAUAAAGUGCACGAGUUCCUUGCGGGUGAUAUGAAGCAUCCCAAAAGCAAAGAAAUUUACAUAAUGCUGGAGGAGAUGAACAAGUGGCUCGAGGCUCAUGGGUACUCACCGCAGAUUGAAAUAGUCUUGCAUAAUCUUGGGGAAGUUGAGAAGCAGCAAGCACUUGCGGUUCAUAGUGAAAGGCUAGCCAUUGCUUAUGGACUAAUUAGUACUCAGGCAGGAACUACAAUCAAGAUUGUCAAGAAUCUACGUGUUUGUCCAGAUUGCCAUGCUGUCACAAAGCUCAUUUCAAAAAUCACAGGACGCAAAAUCAUUGUUAGGGACCGGAAUCGCUUUCAUCAUUUUGUAGAUGGUUCAUGUUCUUGUGGUGAUUUCUGGUAGAACUAUUAGCACAUGUUAACAAGCAGGCAUGCAGGUUUCCUGUAAAGCGUUCUCUUUUGCAUUUUUGUAAAUUUCUUUUGUUGUUUUGGUAGAAAUCUCAUUUUCACCUUUUUGGAAGUAUUUCUGUUCGUAUUUUAACAUUAUUGAGGUGUGGGAAAACCUUUACAAUAGAAACUGAAUUCAGUUUAGGCAUGAUUGAGGAUAUUUCCGUACUCGCUUAUUCAUUCUGUUUAUUUUGAUGAAAGCAUCUAUACGGACACAAGUCUCUAUAUUUUGUGAAUUCUGUUCAGGUUCACUUAUUCUGAGUAAUUUGUAGACAUGUAAGUCAUCCUCUCUUAUCUUUGCACGUAUAAUCUUUCUUAUGUUUCUCUUUACCACCAUCUUUGUAGUAAAGGGGUUUGAGAAUCUCUUAUUUGAAUAUUGUUAGACUUGAGAUUGAGUGAUUCGCCUUACCUGUUUAUUUGCCUCCUGCCUAAAUUACUUGAGGUUGUUCCUUUUGUCUCUCCUGAAUUAAUUGUCAUGUUCUCAUCUCUUAUUUACUUCUCUCAUAUGGAUCACAUAUGGCUUGUUAACCUGCUGUUUAUGAUGCACAGAGUGUUCUAUAAGCAUCGCAUUGCACCAUGGUACCUGUCGUAGCUUGAUGACAUCCUCAUACGGUGUCAUACUCAACAGGAGCUUAUACAGUUGAAACUGACUACCGUUCCAACUUCCAAAGAAAGAGCCGGAGGUGAGAUUUCAUCACCAUCUUCCCAAAAGCAAUCCCAAUUACAAACUAAUAUCUGACAGCUAAAGUUAUAUUGUUCAUGUGGAAACAAUUCUUUACUUCCUCCCAACCUUACUAAGAAUAGUACAAGUGCUUCAGAUACCACCAAUCUGUGGAAGAUGCAACAACUUGUUGAGCAUUGUCUGCUUCACAGAAAUGCUGCAAAACAGAUCACUUCCAUAGUCCCUUUGUCAAGAAUCUGAUGGUAAAUCAGCUGCAUAUUUUCCAGUGCACUAGGUUGCAAAAUAUGGAAGAAACAAGCGUUUCGCGUCAUCAGAAAGUGACAUAAAUAUUAGCUCCAUUUCAUCUGGAAAAAGAUAAUCCUUUUCUCAAUAUUGUCUUUGCAAUUUGAUUCAAUAGUGUUCCAUUUUAUAGGAAGAAAGCUACCAAAUAUUGAUAGCUCUCAGGUAGAGCAUUAGAACGGAAAUAUCCAUUAGCUAUAUUGGUGUUACGA